CCCCUCUCCGGGUCACACCUGGAGAGUUUCCAGUCCUCUACCAGUCUCGACUAAAGGAGGGAGAGUCAAGCAGAGGAAUACCCAUUCCGUUCCCAGCUUGGGCAGUGGCUAGUAAGUGGAAGGCAAUCUGUUACGAGU